AGGUCUCGGUCUCCGUUAGGAAUUUCUUGCAACUUCCUUGGAUCUGUGAAGAAUGCUCAUCUCACCUCGGAUCAGCAUGACUCUUGACGCGUUAGUGAGAUUAUCCAGGGCUAGCAGCAUCGUGUCACCGAGCAAAGGGCAAGGAAUUACAUUUGUCAUCAGAAGGGAUCUUCAUUUUAGAAAGGAAAAGUACAGUUCAGCAUCGGAGGCAAGAAUUGCAGAACAUAUAGGAUGAAGGUGGGAGAAAGUUGGCUUUGCCGUGCUCAGGCCUUCAGAGGCCUUUGACCUGCCGGAAGCUGUCACUUCUCAGAUGUCGUGGGGAGAUGACCACAACCCAUCAGUGACGGGCAGCACCCCCCAGGGUGAUGCGCCACACACGGGAAGUGCAGGUGCCUGGCUCACGCUGGAGACACUUAAGGGACUCGGUGUUCCACCUCAUUCUGGACAGGGCUGCCCGACUGGAACGAGCACCGCCCCGGAGCCCGGGACCCCAGUGACGCGAGCGCCCCUCACCUGUGAGCUGGGGACCAGAGCGGGGCUGAUGGGCAGGGUCGAGGUGGCCAAGGUACGGCUGAGGAGAGGGUUGGGGAGGCUGCUGCUGGGAGGGUGGGUGGCCUUCCAGUAGGCCUCCAGGUAGUCGGCAAGGUGCUCACAGGCGUCCUCGAGCUGGUUCUCAUCCAGAAUCACAUCGAACAGCUCCUGCAGGGGCAGACAGUGCAGACGGCAUGCUGACAGCAGCCAGGGCCCGCCCGGCGCCUCCCCGCACGCGCGGAGCAAGGAGGGCGCCCGAGAGCUGCACGCCGCGUCCCUGCCCGAGGCAACGGGCUCCUCCUUCCUCCUCGCCUUGGCGGGCCAUCCGCUAAGGUCAGGUUAUGCGCGUCUGGCCUCAGGUCGCUGUGGAGGACACGGCUGCUUCGCCGUGUGAAUGACCAGGAAGUGAGCAGGUGUGAUAACAGUUGUUAGGGCCACCAGAGAAAAGUGGCCCACACUGAAAAAAGGAACUGAUCCUAUGCUAGGGGAGAGACAUAGAAAAGAAAAUGAGACUAUAAGCCAAACACACAGUACAGGAAGAAGCCUGUCUUUGACAGAGACUAUGAAAAGCUGAACCUUGGAAAUGACUGAGGUGAGGUGAAGACGUGAGGAAGCCGAAGCCUCUCAUGAUUUGAUGUGGUCCAGACUGCAAAACAGUUCAGAGUUCCUAUAAAUGUUAACGUACUCCCAGUAAUUACACGUGGAUCUGAUCAUAGUUCAUAAGGCUUCUGAGAUACCUUCAUUUUAAAAAAGCCAGAAGCAUACGGUCCCAAAGCGUGGUAUGCAGAGCAAGGGAUUCGAGGUAGGAAUGUGUUCAGGGGUCAGAAUCUGGUUACUGAGUGGUUUAGAAAUGGUCUCAGAUCAAUUUCUUAGAUGGUGAUGAAGAGCCAGCAACUUGCUCCCUGAUUAGAAGUGAAUAAUAAACCAACCCCAAACAGAGCCGUCUUUUAAACCAAAGUUUUUAAACAACGAUUGUGUUUCAUUUAAGAUAGUACUGAGGUGUUAGAUUAACAAAGCGAGGUCACCACGGAACACACCGUAGCCGUUCGUAAGCCACGACC